CUUUCCCAAUUUCCUAAUUAUCAUUUGGUUCUUACUCAUAGGAAUAUUCAAAAUCAAGUUGUAAUUACAAAUUUGUAGCUUUAUUAUCUUUAUGUAUUAAAUAUCUACUCCAUGUUAUUAUAGUUUUGGGGUUACUGGUUUUCAUUACUCUAUAUUUGUCCAUUGAAUUAAUGCACUAUACUUCACUGCCCCCAAUACUAAGCAUGUGUAUUAAUCCAAGUACUUCCCUAUUUUAAAUAACAUUCUACAAGCAUCUCAGUUGUUUCGGUAUUUCUUUUUUCCUUUAGGCAAAUUUCCAUGAGUGGGAUUGCUGUGCCAAAGGGCAAGAUGAACAUUUUAAAAUCUGUAAACAUCCUAAAUUAUUUGAAACUCUUGCUGGGAAGGAAUUUUCUCAGACAUGGACUUCAUUUCCUCCUGGUGGGAUCAUACUAGUUCUUGCCAAUGGAAGAUGUGAGUCAUUCUCCAGUACAGGGGGUGAAAAAAUUGUUCAUCUGGAAAACUUCCUUCAGGAUAUUCUCCAAAACUGUAAACUCCAUAAGGACAGGACUUUCUGCUUUUUUCACUGCUAUAUUCGCAGGCUUGGAACAGCGCUUGACAUGGUAGUUUAAUGACUAUUUGAUGAAUGGAUUCACCACAGCAGUGACCUGCUUCAGGAUGUCUCCCCUAAUACUCCCAAGGUCUGACCUCUGUGCCACUCCUAUGCAUUCAAAAACAUUCUGGGCUACUACUAUUAUAUAUUCUAUUAUAUAUUCGACUAAAUGUCCACAAUGUUAAUUUGUCAGUCUACCCACUAGACUCUAAACUCUUUGUGAGCAGGAAAUGAAUCUCCUUUAUUUGUAUCUCCAGGGCCAAGCACUGACACAAAAUAAAUGAUAAAUAAAUGGCUUUUUG